rnacentral:rRNA from 1 species
GCCUUACACAUGCAAGUCGAACGGUAACAGGUCUUCGGACGCUGACGAGUGGCGAACGGGUGAGUAAUACAUCGGAACCUGCCCAGUCGUGGGGGAUAACUACUCGAAAGAGUAGCUAAUACCGCAUACGAUCUGAGGAUGAAAGCGGGGGACCUUCGGGCCUCGCGCGAUUGGAGCGGCCGAUGGCAGAUUAGGUAGUUGGUGGGAUAAAAGCUUACCAAGCCGACGAUCUGUAGCUGGUCUGAGAGGACGACCAGCCACACUGGGACUGAGACACGGCCCAGACUCCUACGGGAGGCAGCAGUGGGGAACUUUGGAUAAUGGGCGAAAGCCUGAUCCAGCAAUGCCGCGUGCAGGAUGAAGGCCUUCGGGUUGUAAACUGCUUUUGUACGGAACGAAAAAGCUUCUCCUAAUACGAGUGGCCCAUGACGGUACCGUAAGAAUAAGCACCGGCUAACUACGUGCCAGCAGCCGCGGUAAUACGUAGGGUGCGAGCGUUAAUCGGAAUUACUGGGCGUAAAGCGUGCGCAGGCGGUUAUGUAAGACAGAUGUGAAAUCCCCGGGCUCAACCUGGGAACUGCAUUUGUGACUGCAUGGCUAGAGUACGGUAGAGGGGGAUGGAAUUCCGCGUGUAGCAGUGAAAUGCGUAGAUAUGCGGAGGAACACCGAUGGCGAAGGCAAUCCCCUGGACCUGUACUGACGCUCAUGCACGAAAGCGUGGGGA